rnacentral:lncRNA from 13 species
ACUCAUGUCACGCACCCAUAAUCCAGAAGUGAUAAUGUGUUGAGGAUCCAGUCUGUGUGUGUGUGUGUGUGUGUGUGUGUGUGUGUGUGUGUGUGUGUGUGNNNNNNNNNNUAGGUGCGCCCAGGUCAGCAGCCGAUCCCUUAUCCCCGUGGGAACGUAGGUUCGCCCAGGUCAGCAGCCGAUCCCUUAUCCCCGUGGGAACGUAGGUGCGCCCAGGUCAGCAGCCGAUCCCUUAUCCCAGUGGGAACGUAGAUGCGCCCAGGUCAGCAGCCGAUCCCUUAUCCCAGUGGGAACGUAGGUGCACUCGCUCAGGAGGACAGGUAGCAGGUUCCCUCUCCAGGGCCUGGCGAAUGUUCACAACUACGUCCAGGAGCACAGGGUCAAGAUUCGAGAGAGCGGAACUAUGGGUAUACUCAGGACAGGAACAUCUCCCGAGUCGUAGAGACUGAACAGGACAUCGGCUUUGUCAGAUUAAAACGCAAUCUAUUUCUCGUAUUUCUCCGGGGGAGGACAAACAGCCAUCGCUGACCUGGGUGGAAUGCUGGAUGGGCUGGGGUGCUGGCUCGCUGGGUUGACUUGUGGCAGAGAAUCCCCCGCUCGUUGGAGGUGACGCCCCUUGGGUAAUAUCGAGACAUUGAAGAACACGGAGGACCUCAUACAUAGACAUUCUCAGUUGCGCCAGCUCAUUGUGGCGUUGGAGAAGUAGGUGUCCCUGUUCGCCGACCAUCUGGGAGAUGUUUUGAGUCCCUAGUGCUUCCAUUUGUAGAGGCAGUAUUCUGUAACAAUGACGCUAGGAGUCAGGAAGAAGGUGCAGUUGAUCUAAAUUGUUUGGAUUGGUCAAAGCCGUGCCUACACCAAUCCAAUCACUUAAAGAUCAGCGAUUACUUCAAGGAAGGGAAGAAGGAAUGAUGCAUUGUAAAUCUAAUGGAAUAGGACACCUGUGAGAUUGAGCGCAAGGUAAAGGAAAACCCAAUGCUGUUUCUUUCACCUCCAGAUGGCCAGUGCUGUCAGAUCAGUCUGGCCUCUUAGGAUUGAUUGAGGAUGGAGCUAAGUGGAGGGUUAUGGUCUAUGGUCUAUAAGGAGAAAAUGCAUGAAAUAGAAGGCCCAUAUAGCCUACAAUACAUAGCUGAGGCUACAUUCCUACAAUAUUAGUGAGUUUGAUCAUUCCUUGACUAGAACUAGGUACAGGGUGACGCACCUUUGGAUUGAAUCCCAGCCUAAGUCUAUAAUAAUUGCCGGAGUUGAUUUGCUGUGCCAGUAGACUUCCUGUUGAAUGAUGCAGAUGGAACUUUAAUGUAGAAGGACACAACCGUUCAGCAGACAGAGGCAUGAUGAUCAGUUGCAGCAAACAUUAACAACACACUGUGAGUGAAGGGGAUCAGUGAGUUUUAGGCCUGGUUUACUGGUUUACA